rnacentral:lncRNA from 1 species
GUGUCUUACCAUUUAAAUGACAUCGUUAAGAUUCUGCAGUUCAGUGAAGCAAUCUGUGUGUGUGCGUGUGUGUGUGUGUGUGUGUGUGUGUGUGUGUGUGUGUGUGUGUGUGGAGAUUCUUCAGAGGAGGAGCUGAGGAGAUUGAGACUCCAAGUGGAGGAGAGAGAGCAAGAGAUCCAGCAGCUGAAGUCACUCUGCUAAUCAGCAGGCUCUUGUUAAUCAGCUACGAGUCGUUCAGAGGUGGAGGAGUGACGUCAAGCCUCAUAAAUAAUGAGUGCCCCAUUUCUGAGAAAACGAUAAACCUCCAAACUAAUACUUCCCAGCCAGUACUAAAUGAUGAUCAUCACCAGCGAACUCUCUACUGGUUUCAUUAGAGGAAUAAAAAGAUUAAAAGAGCGGAUGGGACUGGCUAG